UGCCAGCCGCCGCGGUAAUACGGAGGGUCCGAGCGUUAUCCGGAAUCAUUGGGUUUAAAGGUUCGUAGGCGGGUCAAUAUGUUGGAUAUGAAAGACCGGAGCUCAACUUCGUGUUUGUGUUCAAAACUGUUAAACUAGAAUCAGGGAGAGGUAAGUAGAAUUCUAAGUGUAGGGGUGCAAUCCGUAGAUACUUAGAGGAAUACCAAAAGCGAAGGCAACUUACUGGAACUGUAUUGACGCUGAGGAACGAAAGCGUGGGUAGCGAAAAGGAUUAGAUA
rnacentral:rRNA from 1 species